UACGUAGGGUGCGAGCGUUUGUCCGGAAUCAUUGGGCGUAAAGAGCGUGUAGGCGGCCCGGUAAGUCCGCUGUGAAAGUCGGGGGCUCAACCCUCGAAUGCCGGUGGAUACUGUCGGGCUAGAGUCCGGAAGAGGCGAGUGGAAUUCCUGGUGUAGCGGUGGAAUGCGUAGAGAUCCGGAAGAACACCGGUGGCGAAGGCGGUCUGCUGGGGUAAUGCUGACACUGAUGCGCGACAGCGUGGGGAGCAAACAGG
rnacentral:rRNA from 1 species